GGGAGUAUAGCUCAGCUGGGAGGAGCGCCUGCCUUGCACGCAGGAGGUCAGCGGUUCGAUCCCGCUUAUCUCCACCA
rnacentral:tRNA from 1 species